UUCUUAAGUCUAUCAAGUUUGAUGAUACCUAUUGUUAAGGGAAAUUCAAGUUGGGCAAAUCACCAGAAGGCAAUUAAAGUAACAAAAGAAAUGUAACAUUUUAUCUAACUGGAGAUGAAGCAUAGUCUCACCUAUAUACAGUUAUUGCCAUGAAUAAAAUUUUACAUUAUAUUAGGAAGAAAUGACACUGAAUGGGCCAUCUAUAGCACCAGCCUGACUAGGAAAGUUAAUUUCCAACAUCAUAUCUUUAACUGUAACAUUAAAAAUAUAUAAUUAGAAAGAAAAAGGAGAAUGAGUUCUCAGUCUUCUGUCAGGAAAAGUCAAGUGGGCCUGACAUUAAGAAGGAAGUACUUGUUCUAUCACUCAUCUGUUUGGGUGGGUUGUAGUAACCUGUGGGACAUCAAAUGAGCUUGAUAAAUGCUUCCCAAAGGCCAAGGGAAGGUGCUCACCCCUACAAAGAGGAGGCUAGAGGGAGUGGAGUCAGAUGAGAGGGGGCUGAACAGCAAAGAUCGGCAGAUACGGAAGGGGCAUGGUGAUUGAGCGACUUCCAAAGAAAGAGCAGGCAUAUCCCUCCCCUUUCACAAUGCUUCUAGCAAAUGUUGGUGAGACUGGGGGAGACUGAGAGAAGGAUAUUGGCUUCUCUGGUGAGUUUGGAUUCUCUGGUCUAGCAAGUUCUGGAGAGGUUUCCUACUUAGUACUAGCUGAUGGAGCUGGGGAUGCCGGGGAAGAAAAGCUCAUCAGGCCAGGCCAGGGAACAGUUACUCAGUUUGUUGACUUUAAGAGGAACUGAACUACAGCUGUGGUCUAGGUGCAUGACUUGGCUCAGGCUUGCUUUUAAACAGGAACCUUGUGCACAUAUUUGAAAAAAUCAAGUCCGCAACACUGUUUACCUUAUUCUUAAAAGGCCGAGGACUAAGUUACACAUAUAAACCACAAUCUCUUUGCAUCAUCGCCUCAUCCUGUUUUUGCAAACCAGGAAGUCACCAUUCACUAUGACAUCAUGUUUUAGGGCCAUGGAAAACAGUGAUGUCAUGAGAAAGCAAAGUCAAAUCACUGAUUUACCAAAGGGUUUGGGUGGGUCUAAAUCUCCAUUCUCUGUGGGCCACAAUCCAAGGCCCACAGUUUAAAGACUGGCCUUCAAAUACUCUGGACAGAAUCACAAAUCCAUUUCCUUAAGAUAUAACUUUCCUUUGGGAACUUUUCUAAGAAGUUCUCAGAGAGGAAAACUCAAAUAUAUUCCUAUAGCAAGUACUAAAACAUGGGGAAAAGUAGUGCUAAAGGCACAGAUGCUUCUGGCUCAGACUAAGUGAGAGUGGGGUGGGAAGGGAUGGGCGAUCUAAGGUUCAAGUCGUCCCCCUGCUACUCUAUCUAGCCAAAUAUCUGACCAUAUUUCACCCUCCAGUGAUUUCUUUGCCUCAGGAUGGGUUAGGUUCUAUUCUUAUUGAGUUGGGGGCAACAGCCAUACUUUUAUGGUCUGUUGUUGGUUGAAUUCCAUUCUAACAGAAAAGCUAGUUCCAACUGUGGGGAGAGCUGCCACCUUCAAGACAACCUGAGAUUUUACCAAGAGCUCGGAGAAAGAAAAUUCCCCAAAUGGCAGGGAUAUGACUACUUUGGUUACUGACUCCUUAGUGACAUCUCUUGGGACCUGUUGCUUCACAGAAUGUGUUAAUUAUCCAUAGAACAAAAGCAGUUUUUCAAUAUGGAACUGGAAGGGAGGAAAGAAAACAGAAGGAAGUAAAAGAAAAAAGAAGGGAGAAAGGGAGCUGGAGAAGACAUUUUAUUUCAGACAUCUUCCAAGGACUGCAGGCUCAUCUUUGUUUCCCAGAGAAGCACACAACUUGCAAAGGGUAAUCCAGCAAAGUAACACUAACAUUAAGAUGGGGUUCCAGAUCUCCAAAUCUUAAGUAUGUCAAAAGGGUAGAACUAGUGGGGCAGAGAAAAGGGAAGAGAUGGAAAAACUUCAAGAAGGAAUUUUGUUCAAUCUAUUCUACUUGGUCUGAAAAAAUAUCUUCAUAUUGAACAUGAAAAAAAAAACACCUGACAAAACACCAGUAAAUAUAAUUUUUGAAUACAUACAAAUAUAUGCCUGGCAGUUAACAUUAGUUUCACCAAAACAAAAAAAAAACACCCCACAAAAAACAAAAACCCCACCAAAAAACCAAACAAUGAACUGGUAGCAUCCUUUCUGGAAGAAUUCUGAAUUUUCCAGGUCUCUAGAUUUCUUAUUUAGACAUCUUUGGUAGAGUUUCCAAUGGGACCUAAUAAGAGUAAAAUUAAUAAUAUCCUUAUAAAUCUUAGGAAAACUAGGAUUUUACUAUCCCCUCUACAAUUAGGGAAGGGGAAAGAGAUAUUUCCGUAAGAAAACAAUAGCACUGAAUAGCCUUGAUUUUCACAGCUCAUAUAUUUAAGGACCUCCAUGGGAAAAAAAAUCCUGGAAUUAUAUUUGGCAUCAUGGUUAAGAUAGGCUUAGUUAGGGCUGAUUUAUCCAUCUUCAGCUUGGUCUAGCCACUUCUGACCAACUGAGGAUACAAGUUGAUAGGAUUCAAAGUAGGAAGUUUAAGGGGAUAACUGAAAUAUCCAUGACUUUUUGGCCUCCUAGUGGCCGUCUUGAUUUACAGAGGGAUCAGUAGCAACAUAAAAAUGGGCUGCUCAAACCAGCUAGAAAAAGGGAUGUUUGUUAAGGUUUUUAAAAACGAGGAUAAAAAAGAUUUAUGGUUAUGUUUGAAUUUAGUACUAUUUGUUUUGAGGGAAUAAAAUUCAAAUCUUAGGAAGAAAA